rnacentral:lncRNA from 1 species
GGCUAGGACUUUACAAGACUACCAAGUGCUCUUUUUCUUGGAUUAAUUUCAACUGUUUUUGAGGUGUUGCAAGAAAAUCAACAAGGGCCUCUCUCUAUUUGGCCAAAAAAAUGGAUUUCUGGCUUGUCUCCAGGGAAUUCCCAAAGUGAGUUUCCUAUUUACAACUGGGGAGUCUAGAUUUACAAAUCUUUUAGAUUUCUUCUGGAAGAGAUAGGAACAGGCUCCUCUGGGCUCCAUGUGGGCUGGUCAGCUACAACUUCUUUAUAUAGGCUACACUUAAAUAUCCUUAUCACUGCGCUCAGCUGGAGCUGCCUGGGCAGUGUUAGGACAGAAGAAGAUAAAUAAAAGGCUCGGGACUCAUACAAAAAGGUGCCAAGGACUAAACCUGUGGAGCCAAGCUAAUGCUGUAGCCCAACGCUGGAGAGGUCAGCUUCCUGAAGGAAUCAAGAUUGACUGAGGUGUGGUGCAGGGCCAAGGGAAGCAGGGAAGACUCCUGGAGAUCCCCAUCAGGUUUACAGCACGUGGCUUCUACACAAAACAACACUGGCAACAGAGGUUAAUACUCUUACGAAAGGCCUAAGCAACUACCAUUCGAGGCACUCACAGAUGUAGCUGAUGCAUCAUACAGGACCGUCAGCGUAGCCCUGGAAAAGCCAGCCUCAUGAUGACGGAUGGUGGUCUGGAACACAGCUUGAGUGAUAAUAAAGUGCCAAGUGAAAGUAAAUGAGCUGAGGAAAAAACAAACAGAAAACUUCUGAGACCUAUUUUGAGGUACCCUCAACUGAGUCAGAAGGCUGGAAACCCCGGGAACUAUUUCCCAGAACCACUACCAGCGGCUUCCACCCUAGACGUGGCAGGUGAAAUUUACAAGGGAAAAAGGGCAAAAGCCUUAUUUCUGGUCCUCUGGAGGCUAGCGUGGGAGGCCCUGGACUUCAGUAGACACGAAGUUACAGCAGCUGUUGCAUAUUCCCCUGAAAAGCACCUUUCUCAGUGCCUGAAGAAGCUCUGA